rnacentral:rRNA from 1 species
GAUAUUGGUCAUGGGGGGGAACCCUAAACCAGCGACACCGCGUGGGGGAAGAAGGUUUUGGGAUGGUAAACUUCGUCCUCCGGGGAAGAUAAUGCCGGUACCCGAUGAGGAAGCCACGGCUAACUCCGUGCCAGCAGCCGCGGUAAUACGUAGGUGGCAAGCGUUGUCCGGAAUUACUGGGUGUAAAGGGAGCGUAGGCGGGAAGGCAAGUUGAAUGUUAAAUCUAUCGGCUCAACCGAUAGCCGUGUUCAAAACUGUCUUUCUUGAGUGAAGUAGAGGCAAGCAGAAUUCCUAGUGUAGCGGUGAAAUGCGUAGAGAUUAGGAGGAAUACCAGUGGCGAAGGCGGCUUGCUGGGCUUUUACUGACGCUGAGGCUCGAAAGUGUGGGGAGCAAACA